rnacentral:rRNA from 1 species
GCGGGUGUAGGCGGCUUGUUAAGUCAGAUGUGAAAGCCCACGGCUCAGCCGUGGAAGUGCAUCUGAAACUGGCAGACUUGAGUACCGGAGAGGGAAGUGGAAUUCCUGGUGUAGGGGUGAAAUCCGUAAAUAUCAGGAGGAACACCGGUGGCGAAAGCGACUUCCUGGACGGAUACUGACGCUGAGAUCCGAAAGCGUGGGGAGCAAACWGGAUUAGAUACCCUGGUAGUCCAYGCCCUAAACGAUGGGCACUAKGUGCAGGGKGUGUUGACCCCUCCUGUGCCRCAUCUAACGCAUUAAGUGCCCCGCCUGGKKAGUACGGCCGSAAGGUUGAAACUCAAAGGAAUUGACGGGGGCCCGCACAAGCGGUGGAGCAUGUGGUUUAAUUCGACGCAACGCGAASAACCUUACCUGGGCUUGACAUCCCGGGAACUCUGUGGAAACAUGKAGGUGCCCCUUCGGGGGAACCUGGUGACAGGUGCUGCAUGGCUGUCGUCAGCUCGUGUCGUKAGAUGUUGKGUUAAGUCCCGCAACNNNNGCWACCCUUGCCKUUAGUUGCCAUCAUUAAUUUGKUGACUCUAGA